CAAAAAAUGUUGUUGAGCACCUGUGUCAGACACCCAUCAUACUAAAAUGAAUAAGAUAGAGCCCCUGUCCUCAAGGAUCUGAUGUUCUAGUGAAGAAGACAGAUUAACAGAUUUUGCUGCUGCUGCUGCUGCUGCUAAGAAUCCUUUCUUCUCACCUCUGGGUGCCUGAAAGUCAGCAGGAGUUACAAGCGGAAAUUUGGCCAAAAUGCAUUGCACUCUGAAAGAAAAUGCUUAAUUUCUCUAAAAGUGAAGGACUUGCUGAGAAAAAAAUGUUGAAAAUAUAAUGAGCAGGCAUUUCAAUGCAAAAGGUGAUACAAUAUACCCAUUACGUUGCUAUUCUCAUGGGACAGAACCAACCUUUGACUUUUGUAUAAACUAUCUGGCAAUAUUACGUAAGACACCUCCUAUUUGUAGUUCUGUUUCAGAACAUAGUAUAUAAUCUGGUAUAUAUCAUAAUGAAUAAAGUCAUAAUGAAUAAAAUCAAAAUAGGGUGCCGCCCUAUUUGAUAAUAAAACUUUUCAUGUCACUGAAUGCAUAUAUUUAUCAAACUUCCUGUACUAAAAUGAAAUACACAUAUAUAAGCAGGCAUACUCCAAAAAUUUAACAGGAAUAAUUUAACACUCUUGAGACAGGAGUAAUACAAGGUGGUCACAGG
rnacentral:lncRNA from 10 species